AACGAACGCUGGCGGCAUGCCUAACACAUGCAAGUCGAACGAGCCCUUCGGGUCUAGUGGCGCACGGGUGCGUAACGCGUGGGAACCUGCCCUUAGGUUCGGAAUAACUCCCCGAAAGGGGUGCUAAUACCGGAUAAUGUCUUCGGACCAAAGAUUUAUCGCCUUUGGAUGGGCCCGCGUUGGAUUAGCUAGUUGGUAGGGUAAAAGCCUACCAAGGCGACGAUCCAUAGCUGGUCUGAGAGGAUGAUCAGCCACACUGGGACUGAGACACGGCCCAGACUCCUACGGGAGGCAGCAGGGGGUAAUAUUGGACAGUGGGCGAAAGCCUGAUCCAGCAAUGCCGCGUGAGUGAUGAAGGCCUUAGGGUUGUAAAGCUCUAUUACCCGGGAUGAUAAUGACAGUACCGGGAGAUUAAGCUCCGGCUAACUCCGUG
rnacentral:rRNA from 1 species